GAUGAACGCUGGCUACAGGCUUAACACAUGCAAGUCGAGGGGAAACGACGGGGAAGCUUGCUUCCCCGGGCGUCGACCGGCGCACGGGUGAGUAACGCGUAUCCAACCUGCCUCUGACUGAGGGAUAACCCGUCGAAAGUCGGCCUAAUACCUCAUGGCAUCGUCUGCGGGCAUCCAACGACGAUUAAAGAUUUCAUCGGUCAGGGAUGGGGAUGCGUCUGAUUAGCUAGUUGGCGGGGUAACGGCCCUCCAAGGCGACGAUCAGUAGGGGUUCUGAGAGGAAGGUCCCCCACAUUGGAACUGAGACACGGUCCAAACUCCUACGGGAGGCAGCAGUGAGGAAUAUUGGUCAAUGGGCGAGAGCCUGAACCAGCCAAGUAGCGUGCAGGAUGACGGCCCUAUGGGUUGUAAACUGCUUUUAUGCGGGGAUAAAGUGAGGGACGUGUCCUUCAUUGCAGGUACCGCAUGAAUAAGGACCGGCUAAUUCCGUG
rnacentral:rRNA from 1 species